UACGAAGGGUGCAAGCGUUGUUCGGAAUUACUGGGCGUAAAGCGUGCGUAGGCGGUUUGAUAAGUUGGGAGUGAAAUCCCGGGGCUUAACCUCGGAAUUGCUUUCAAAACUGUCAAGCUAGAGUAUGGCAGGGGACAGUGGAAUUCCUAGUGUAGAGGUGAAAUUCGUAGAUAUUAGGAGGAACACCAGUGGCGAAAGCGACUGUCUGGACCAUUACUGACGCUGAGGCACGAAAGCGUGGGGAGCAAACAGG
rnacentral:rRNA from 1 species